rnacentral:RNase_P_RNA from 1 species
GAAGUUCGCCAGGCAACCGCGGUGCUCCGCGCAUCGAGGAAAGUCCGGGCCCCAAAGAGCAGGAUGCCGGCUAACGGCCGGGCGUCAUACGUCGAAAGACCAAAGCGACGGAAAGUGCCAUCCGCAGGGAUGGCCUCGCCGGCAGCACCAUCCGGAUCGGCCUGGCCGAUGGGGCAACCCAGGGUGUGCUGGCGUGGCAACAGAAAAAUACCGCCGACGGCACCGGAUGCCGGGCAAGGGUGAAAUGGUGGGGUAAGAGCCCACCGCGUGUCUGGCAACAGGCAUGGCACGGCAAACCCCAUCCGGGGCAAGGCCAAAUAGGGGAGCACUGGCGUGGCUCGCGCUGCUCCCGGGUAGGCUGCUUGAGCGGCACGGCAACGUGUCGCCCAGAGGAAUGGUUGCCCGGCGCCCCAUCGGGGCGCUCGACAGAACCCGGCUUAUCGGCGGACUUCCCAC